CCUACGGGAGGCUGCAGUGAGGAAUAUUGGUCAAUGGACGCAAGUCUGAACCAGCCAAGUAGCGUGCAGGAUGACGGCCCUAUGAGUUGUAAACUGCUUUUGUACGAGGGUAAACGCAGAUACGUGUAUCUUUCUGUAAGUAUCGUACGAAUAAGGAUCGGCUAACUCCGUGCCAGCAGCCGCGGUAAUACGGAGGAUUCAAGCGUUAUCCGGAUUUAUUGGGUUUAAAGGGGGCGUAGGCGGUCGGAUAAGUUAGUGGUGAAAGCUUGAGGCUCAACUGUAGAAUUGCAUUUGAUACUGUUCGGCUUGAGAGUAGUUGCGGUAGGCGGAAUUCAUGGUGUAGCGGUGAAAUGCUUAGAGAUCAUGAAGAACGCCGAUUGCGAAGGCAGCUUACCAAGCUGCUUCUGACAUUGAUGCUCGAAAGCGUGGGCAUCAAACAGGAUUAGAUACCCUGGUAGUC
rnacentral:rRNA from 1 species